UACGGAGGGAGCUAGCGUUGUUCGGAAUUACUGGGCGUAAAGCGCACGUAGGCGGCUAUUCAAGUCAGAGGUGAAAGCCCGGGGCUCAACCCCGGAACGGCCUUUGAAACUAGAUAGCUAGAAUCUUGGAGAGGCGAGUGGAAUUCCGAGUGUAGAGGUGAAAUUUGUAGAUAUUCGGAAGAACACCAGUGGCGAAGGCGACUCGCUGGACAAGUAUUGACGCUGAGGUGCGAAAGCGUGGGGAGCAAACAGG
rnacentral:rRNA from 1 species